UCCAACUUGAGAGUUUGAUCCUGGCUCAGAACGAACGCUGGCGGCAGGCCUAACACAUGCAAGUCGAACGCCGUAGCAAUACGGAGUGGCAGACGGGUGAGUAACACGUGGGAACAUGCCCUUCGGUUCGGAAUAACUCAGGGAAACUUGAGCUAAUACCGGAUACGUCCGCAAGGAGAAAGAUUUAUUGCCGAAGGAUUGGCCCGCGUCUGAUUAGCUUGUUGGUGAGGUAAUGGCUCACCAAGGCGACGAUCAGUAGCUGGUCUGAGAGGAUGAUCAGCCACAUUGGGACUGAGACACGGCCCAAACUCCUACGGGAGGCAGCAGUGGGGAAUAUUGGACAAUGGGCGAAAG
rnacentral:rRNA from 1 species